GACGAACGCUGGCGGCGUGCUUAACACAUGCAAGUCGAACGGUAAGGCUCCAGCUUGCUGGGGUACACGAGUGGCGAACGGGUGAGUAACACGUGGGUGACCUGCCCUGCACUUCGGGAUAAGCCUGGGAAACUGGGUCUAAUACCGGAUAGGACCAUGGUGUGGAUACUGUGGUGGAAAGUUUUUUCGGUGUGGGAUGGGCGCGCGGCCUAUCAGCUUGUUUGUGGGGUAAUGGCCUACCAAGGCGGCGACGGGUAGCCGGCCUGAGAGGGUGGACGGCCACAUUGGGACUGAGACACGGCCCAGACUCCUACGGGAGGCAGCAGUGGGGAAUAUUGCACAAUGGGCGGAAGCCUGAUGCAGCGACGCCGCGUGGGGGAUGACGGCCUUCGGGUUGUAAACUCCUUUCACCAUCGACGAAGGGUUUCUGACGGUAGAUGGAGAAGAAGCACCGGCUAACUACGUG
rnacentral:rRNA from 1 species